rnacentral:misc_RNA from 1 species
GAUGAAGAACGUAGCGAAAUGCGAUAAGUAAUGUGAACUGCAGAAUUCAGUGAAUCAUCGAAUCUUUGAACGCACAUUGCGCCCCUUGGUAUUCCGAGGGGCAUGCCUGUUCGAGCGUCAUUAUAACCCCUCAAGCUCAGCUUGGUGUUGGGGCCUGCUGCACUGGCAGCCCUUAAAAUCAGUGGCGGCGCCAUCUGGCUCUAAGCGUAGUAAUUCUUCUCGCUAUGGAGUCCUGGUGGAUGCUUGCCAUCAACCCCCAAUUUUUCUAUGGUUGACCUCGGAUCAGGUAGGGAUACCCGCUGAACUUAAGCAUAUCAAUAAGCGGAGGA